CCUACACGACCGUACCGCAAACCGACACUGGUGCGCGAGAUGAGUAUUCUAAGGCGCUUGAGAGAACUCAGGAGAAGGAACUCGGCAAAUUGACACCGUAACUUCGGAAGAAGGUGUGCCUUUAGUAGGUGAAGUCCCUCGCGGAUGGAGCCCAAUGAGGUUGCAAAAAAUCGGUGGCUGCGACUGUUUAUUAAAAACACAGCACUCUGCAAACACGAAAGUGGACGUAUAGGGUGUGACGCCUGCCCGGUGCUGGAAGAUUAAAUGAUGGGGUGCAAGCUCUUGAUUGAAGUCCCAGUAAACGGCGGCCGUAACAAUAACGGUCCUAAGGUAGCGAAAUUCCUUGUCGGGUAAGUUCCGACCUGCACGAAUGGCGUAACGAUGGCCACACUGUCUCCUCCUGAGACUCAGCGAAGUUGAAAUGUUUGUGAUGAUGCAAUCUCCCCGCGGAAAGACGGAAAGACCCCAUGAACCUUUACUGUAGCUUUGUAUUGGACUUUGAACAGAUCUGUGUAGGAUAGGUGGGAGGCUUUGAAGCAGGGUCGCUAGAUCUUGUGGAGCCAACGUUGAAAUACCACCCUGGUGUGUUUGAGGUUCUAACCUAGGCCCGUAAUCCGGGUUGGGGACAGUGCAUGGUAGGCAGUUUGACUGGGGCGGUCUCCUCCCAAAGUGUAACGGAGGAGUUCGAAGGUACGCUAGUUACGGUCGGACAUCGUGACGAUAGUGCAAUGGCAUAAGCGUGCUUAACUGCGAGACUGACAAGUCGAGCAGAUGCGAAAGCAGGACAUAGUGAUCCGGUGGUUCUGUAUGGAAGGGCCAUCGCUCAACGGAUAAAAGGUACUCUGGGGAUAACAGGCUGAUACCGCCCAAGAGUUCAUAUCGACGGCGGUGUUUGGCACCUCGAUGUCGGCUCAUCUCAUCCUGGGGCUGUAGCCGGUCCCAAGGGUAUGGCUGUUCGCCAUUUAAAGAGGUACGUGAGCUGGGUUUAAAACGUCGUGAGACAGUUUGGUCCCUAUCUUCCGUGGGCGCUGCAGAUUUGAGGAAGCCUGCUCCUAGUACGAGAGGACCGGAGUGGACGCACCUCUGGUGUAUCGGUUGUCACGCCAGUGGCAUUGCCGAGUAGCUAUGUGCGGAAGAGAUAACCGCUGAAAGCAUCUAAGCGGGAAACUCGUUUCAAGAUGAGAUCUGCCGGGGCCUUGAGCCCCCUGAAGAGUCGUUCAAGACCAGGACGUUGAUAGGUCGGGUGUGGAAGCGCAGUAAUGCGUUAAGCUAACCGAUACUAAUUGCUCGUGCGGCUUGAUC
rnacentral:rRNA from 1 species